UACGUAGGGUGCGAGCGUUAAUCGGAAUUACUGGGCGUAAAGCGUGCGCAGGCGGUUUUGUAAGCCAGAUGUGAAAGCCCCGGGCUUAACCUGGGAAUGGCAUUUGGGACUGCAAGGCUGGAGUGUGGCAGAGGAGACUGGAAUUCCUGGUGUAGCAGGUGAAAUGCGUAGAUAUCAGGAGGAAUACCGAUGGCGAAGGCAGGUCUCUGGGCUAACACUGACGCUCAUGCACGAAAGCGUGGGGAGCAAACAGG
rnacentral:rRNA from 1 species